rnacentral:rRNA from 1 species
GACGAACGCUGGCGGCGUGCUUAACACAUGCAAGUCGAACGGAAAGGCCCUGCUUUUGUGGGGUGCUCGAGUGGCGAACGGGUGGGUAACACGUGAGUAACCUGCCCUUGACUUUGGGAUAACUUAAGGAAACUGGGGCUAAUACCGGAUAGGAGCUCAUGCUGCAUGGUGGGGGUUGGAAAGUUUCGGCGGUUGUGGAUGGACUCGCGGCUUAUCAGCUUGUUGGUGGGGUAGUGGCUUACCAAGGCUUUGACGGGUAGCCGGCCUGAGAGGGUGACCGGCCACAUUGGGACUGAGAUACGGCCCAGACUCCUACGGGAGGCAGCAGUGGGGAAUAUUGCACAAUGGGCGGAAGCCUGAUGCAGCAACGCCGCGUGCGGGAUGACGGCCUUCGGGUUGUAAACCGCUUUCGCCUGUGACGAAGCGUGAGUGACGGUAAUGGGUAAAGAAGCACCGGCUAACUACGUG